AGUAAAAAGAAAAUCUAGAUUAUCAAGGACUACACAGACUACGGUCUCAGAAUCGGAGCCGACAUCGGUUUCAUUUGAGGAAUACAUGUUUAUGGGAUGCCGUUCAUCUACUGACUCUGUUUCGACGCAUUCAAUGAG